rnacentral:rRNA from 1 species
AUACGGAGGAUGCGAGCGUUAUCCGGAUUUAUUGGGUUUAAAGGGUGCGUAGGCUGUGCGUUAAGUCAGGGGUGAAAUGCCGUCGCUCGACGACGGAGCUGCCCUUGAUACUGGCGUGGUGGAGUACGGAUGCCGUUGGAGGAAUGAGUGGUGUAGCGGUGGAAUGCUUAGAUAUCACUCAGAACACCGAUUGCGAAGGCAUCUGACGAAUCCGUCACUGACGCUGAGGCACGAAAGCGUGGGGAUAGAACAGGAUUAGAUACCCUGGUAUUCCACGCCGUAAACGAUGAUGACUAACCGUCGGCGAUAGACAGCCGGUGGCCAAGCGAAAGCGAUAAGUCAUCCACCUGGGGAGUACGUCGGCAACGAUGAAACUCAAAUGAAUUGGCGGGG